rnacentral:rRNA from 1 species
GAUGAACGCUGGCGGCGUGCCUAAUACAUGCAAGUCGAGCGAACGGACGAGAAGCUUGCUUCUCUGAUGUUAGCGGCGGACGGGUGAGUAACACGUGGAUAACCUACCUAUAAGACUGGGAUAACUUCGGGAAACCUGAGCUAAUACCGGAUGAUAUUUUGAACCGCAUGGUUCAAAAGUGAAAGACGGUCUUGCUGUCACUUAUAGAUGGAUCCUCGCUGCAUUAGCUAGUUGGUAAGGUAACGGCUUACCAAGGCAACGAUGCAUAGCCGACCUGAGAGGGUGAUCGGCCACACUGGAACUGAGACACGGUCCAGACUCCUACGGGAGGCAGCAGUAGGGAAUCUUCCGCAAUGGGCGAAAGCCUGACGGAGCAACGCCGCGUGAGUGAUGAAGGUCUUCGGAUCGUAAAACUCUGUUAUUAGGGAAGAACAUAUGUGUAAGUAACUGUGCACAUCUUGACGGUACCUAAUCAGAAAGCCACGGCUAACUACGUG